rnacentral:tRNA from 1 species
GGGGAGAUGGCUUAGUGGUAAGAGCACUGGCUGUUCUUCUGUUGGACCUGGGUUCAAUUCCCAGUAUCCAUA